CACACACACACACACACACACACAAUCAGAUCAAAAAGGGGAGAAAAUGAGAAAGAAAGAAAAAAAAAACAAGCAAUGGGACAGUUAGGUGGCAAUGUGGAUAGAGCACCAAAACUGAAUUCAGGAGGAUCUGAGUUCAAAUCAUACUUAGACACUUAAAACACUUCCUGGCUGUGUGACUUUGGACAAGUCAUUUAACCCCAAUUGCCUCAGCAAGCAAACAAGCAAGAAAGAAAGACAGAAAGAAAAAAGAAAAACCAAGCAAGCAAACAACAACAAAACAGUGGGACUGUUCCUCCCUCAAUAAAGGUAUAAAGAGAAGGAAGAAGAAAGAAGAGAAAGAAGGAGAAAUCCUUAUUCAUCUGGAUAUGUGCAAAGCCUCCCAAACACUGAGCUAGCUAUGGCAAUGUGUGCGUCAACAUUAUCAAUAUUGGACAUCCCUGGAAAGAAUACUGCCAAGGUCCUCAUUGAAGGCAUUUGACAACAUGGCUGAAAACAUUAUGCUAAAAGGCAUGGUAGCAAGAACACAACCUUGGUUCAUUCCAUUGGUGACUGGGAAAGUGUGAGAGCAUUGUCCGUUAUCCUUCAGAAGUCAGGCAAGAAUGCCAACAUGAAAUUGAACUUUUUUGGGCAACCAAAUUUUGACAUGAUUUUCUAUAAGACCUCAUGACUGAUAGUAUCAAAGGCUUUGGUCGGAUCUACAAACAUUGUAUCCAGACCUCUAUUCUGUUUCUGGCAUUUCCCUUGGAGUUGAGAAAAAAAGAAUGUAUGAACCAUUCCUUGGCUCUUUCUGAAGCCACACUAUUUUUGUUGAAUGAAAAUAUUUAGCUUGGAGAUGCUAAGUCUAUGAUCAGUCCAGCACUCUGUACCACACAGUGCCUUCGUUACUCUCACAUCCAGUAUAUGUCUUCUCCUCACAAUCACAUAGUCUAUUAAAUGGCAAUGUUUGCUGCAAGGAUAUAUUUACAAAGUGGCAGCUUUUGGUAAAUGGAAGACAAUGUUAGUCAUGAGAUGUAUAAGUCCUCAGUAGUAAGAGCCCUUUGCUAUUGCUGUUUCCAAAUCCAUACAUUUUAAGGGCUCCCUGCCAUGUCUGGCAAACUGGAUCUAUUCUAGCAUCAGUCAUCCAGAAUUAUAAACUUGUACUCUUUGGGCACACUAAUGAUAAGGGUCUCCAGGUCUUUAUAAAUAUAUUUUUUUUAUCUCAUCAGUCUUCAUCAUUAUGGGAGCACAGUCACAGAUGAUGGUGGUGUGAUAUUUUCCUGCAAGUGGCAAUUGCAUUGUCACAAGCCUGUCAUUCAUUCCUUUCGAAAGGCAUACAAGCUUGCUGACUCAAUUAGUUUUAAUUGUAAAACUUAUACCAGCUUCAUGUGGCAGCCAUUCCAGAAAAAAAUGUGUAUCUAUCUCUGAUUUCAGUAAGCUGACCUUCAGUUGCCAGCCUUGUUUCACUCAGGACUGUCAUUUGGAUGUGAUACCCACCGAAUUCUCUUGCAAUAAAAGCUGUUCAUCUUUUAGGUCUA